rnacentral:rRNA from 1 species
GAUGAACGCUGGCGGCGUGCCUAAUACAUGCAAGUCGAGCGAACGGACGAGAAGCUUGCUUCUCUGAUGUUAGCGGCGGACGGGUGAGUAACACGUGGAUAACCUACCUAUAAGACUGGGAUAACUUCGGGAAACCGGAGCUAAUACCGGAUAAUAUUUUGAACCGCAUGGUUCAAAAGUAAAAGACGGUCUUGCUGUCACUUAUAGAUGGAUCCGCGCUGCAUUAGCUAGUUGGUAAGGUAACGGCUUACCAAGGCAACGAUGCAUAGCCGACCUGAGAGGGUGAUCGGCCACACUGGAACUGAGACACGGUCCAGACUCCUACGGGAGGCAGCAGUAGGGAAUCUUCCGCAAUGGGCGAAAGCCUGACGGAGCAACGCCGCGUGAGUGAUGAAGGUCUUCGGAUCGUAAAACUCUGUUAUUAGGGAAGAAUAUAUGUGUAAGUAACUGUGCACAUCUUGACGGUACCUAAUCAGAAAGCCACGGCUAACUACGUGCCAGCAGCCGCGGUAAUACGUAGGUGGCAAGCGUUAUCCGGAAUUAUUGGGCGUAAAGCGCGCGUAGGCGGUUUUUUAGUCUGAUGUGAAAGCCCACGGCUCAACCGUGGAGGGUCAUUGGAAACUGGAAAACUUGAGUGCAGAAGAGGAAAGUGGAAUUCCAUGUGUAGCGGUGAAAUGCGCAGAGAUAUGGAGGAACACCAGUGGCGAAGGCGACUUUCUGGUCUGUAACUGACGCUGAUGUGCGAAAGCGUGGGGAUCAAACAGGAUUAGAUACCCUGGUAGUCCGCGCCGUAAACGAUGAGUGCUAAGUGUUAGGGGGUUUCCGCCCCUUAGUGCUGCAGCUAACGCAUUAAGCACUCCGCCUGGGGAGUACGACCGCAAGGUUGAAACUCAAAGGAAUUGACGGGGACCCGCACAAGCGGUGGAGCAUGUGGUUUAAUUCGAAGCAACGCGAAGAACCUUACCAAAUCUUGACAUCCUUUGACAACUCUAGAGAUAGAGCCUUCCCCUUCGGGGGACAAAGUGACAGGUGGUGCAUGGUUGUCGUCAGCUCGUGUCGUGAGAUGUUGGGUUAAGUCCCGCAACGAGCGCAACCCUUAAGCUUAGUUGCCAUCAUUAAGUUGGGCACUCUAAGUUGACUGCCGGUGACAAACCGGAGGAAGGUGGGGAUGACGUCAAAUCAUCAUGCCCCUUAUGAUUUGGGCUACACACGUGCUACAAUGGACAAUACAAAGGGCAGCGAAACCGCGAGGUCAAGCAAAUCCCAUAAAGUUGUUCUCAGUUCGGAUUGUAGUCUGCAACUCGACUACAUGAAGCUGGAAUCGCUAGUAAUCGUAGAUCAGCAUGCUACGGUGAAUACGUUCCCGGGUCU